rnacentral:rRNA from 1 species
GACAGAGGAUGCAAGCGUUAUCCGGAAUGAUUGGGCGUAAAGGGCGCGUAGGCGGCACGGCAAGUCAGGAGUGAAAGCCCGGGGCUCAACCCCGGAAUGUCUUUUGAAACUGCCGAGCUAGAGUGCGGAAGAGGCAACUGGAAUUCCCAGUGUAGCGGUGAAAUGCGUAGAUAUUGGGAAGAACACCUGAGGCGAAGGCGGGUUGCUGGGCCGACACUGACGCUGAGGCGCGAAAGCCAGGGGAGCGAACGGG